AGAGUUUGAUCAUGGCUCAGGAUGAACGCUGGCGGCGUGCCUAAUACAUGCAAGUCGAGCGGUAAGGCCUCUUUUAGAGGUACACGAGCGGCGGACGGCUGAGUAACACGUAGGAACGUACCCCAAACUGAGGGAUAAGCACCAGAAAUGGUGUCUAAUACCGCAUGUGCUCUUUUUGAGUAAAGCUACGGCGGUUUGGGAACGGCCUGCGCAUGAUUAGUUAGUUGGUGAGGUAAUAGCUCACCAAGGCUACGAUCAUUAGCUGGUCUGAGAGGAUGAUCAGCCAGACUGGGACUGAGAACGGCCCAGACUCCUACGGGAGGCAGCAGUAGGGAAUUUUCCACAAUGGGCGAAAGCCUGAUGGAGCAACGCCGCGUGCAGGAUGAAUGCCUUCGGGUUGUAAACUGCUUUUAUCUGUGACGAAUAUGACGGUAGCAGAUGAAUAAGGAUCGGCUAACUCCGUGCCAGCCGCCGCGGUAAUAC
rnacentral:rRNA from 1 species